rnacentral:lncRNA from 1 species
CAAGACAGAUUUAAAGUAGCUAAUGUUCAGUUUGAAAAAUAUUUUUUUAUGGAAAGUCAAGAUAGUUUUAAUAGGCAACACAUUGAAAUGAAAAGAGCAGGGGUCUGAAUUGGAUUAACUUGCUUUGGAAUUCCCAGAUCUUUAGCAAAGUUCGUGGAAGUUAUUUUAGCACUUAUUCAUUUCUGUUUCUGCAUUUGCAAAACAAUAAUUAGGAAAAAUACUAGGUUAAGGUAAAAACAAGUUAUAUGUGAAGAUGAAUGAAUUGUCUGAUGCACAGUGGGAACGUGCCGUGUUUAGCCCUGUACUUUGUAAACUUCAGAAUACUAAGAUGAAACGUCUAGGUCUGGCUCUGUGCUUGAGUGAAGCUUCUAUGGGAGUCCAUGGUUACCAGUGGUCACCUUCUCCACUGGCCGAGCUUCCCAUGAGCAGAGUUUUCUAAAUACUAGAAAAUGCUAGAACUAUGGGCAAGUGUGCUUAAUGACUAAUAACAUUUUCCUAACUAAAAUAGAGCUUAUCUGUUGUCUACGACAGAUGGAUGAUGGAUCCCUUUCAAGGUCUCCUCCCCAUUGUUGGGGU